CAUUCUGAGUGCAAAGGCCUGGGCAGGCACAGUAGAGGCAUUUCACCCAGCUGGAGGCAAUGGGGGAAGGCUUCCCGGAAGAGGUGUUGCCCUUGCCUUAGCCCCAGUGGGCUAGUCAGCACCAAGGCCUGUCCCGACCUCCGCCCCAAGCUGCCCCGGAGGGAGAAGCCCGCUGUGGACACAGGGAGACUGGCGAGG